UGGGGAAUCUUCCGCAAUGGACGAAAGUCUGACGGAGCAACGCCGCGUGAGUGAUGACGGCCUUCGGGUUGUAAAGCUCUGUUAAUCGGGACGAAAGGCCUUCUUGCGAAUAGUUAGAAGGAUUGACGGUACCGGAAUAGAAAGCCACGGCUAACUACGUGCCAGCAGCCGCGGUAAUACGUAGGUGGCAAGCGUUGUCCGGAAUUAUUGGGCGUAAAGCGCGCGCAGGCGGAUUGGUCAGUCUGUCUUAAAAGUUCGGGGCUUAACCCCGUGAUGGGAUGGAAACUGCCAAUCUAGAGUAUCGGAGAGGAAAGUGGAAUUCCUAGUGUAGCGGUGAAAUGCGUAGAUAUUAGGAAGAACACCAGUGGCGAAGGCGACUUUCUGGACGAAAACUGACGCUGAGGCGCGAAAGCCAGGGGAGCGAACGGGAUUAGAUACCCCGGUAGUCCUGGCCGUAACUACUAGGUGUAGGAGAUAUCGACCCCUUCUGUGCCGGAGUUAACGCAAUAAGUACCCCGCCUGGGGAGUACGACCGCAAGGUUG
rnacentral:rRNA from 1 species